rnacentral:rRNA from 1 species
CGAACGGCAACCCCGAGUAUAGCAAUAUAUUUGGGGGGAUAGUGGCGAAAGGGCGAGCAACACGUGGGCAAUCUACCUCUAAGUUGGGGAUAACCCGCCGAAAGGCGGGCUAAUACCGAAUGUGGUGGUUCGUCGCAUGACGGAUUGACCAAAGGCGGGGACUUUAGGGCCUGCCGCUUGGAGAGGAGCCUGCGCCCCAUCAGCUAGUUGGUAGGGUAACGGCCUACCAAGGCUUACGGGUAGCUGGUCUGAGAGGAUGACCAGCCGCACUGGGACUGAGACACUGCCCAGACUCCUACGGGAGGCUGCAGUCGAGGAUCUUUUGCAAUGGGCGAAAGCCUGACAAAGCGACACUGCGUGGAGGACGAAGGCCUUCGGGUCGUAAACUCCUGUCAUUCGGGAAAAACGAGCACCCAGCUAAUACCUGGGUGAAGUGAUGGUACCGGAAGAGGAAGCCACGGCCAACUCUGUGCCAGCAGCCGCGGUAAUACAGAGGUGGCGAGCGUUGUUCGGAUUUACUGGGCGUAAAGGGUGCGUAGGUGGUGUGGUGUGUCGGGCGUGAAAUCCCAUGGCUCAACCAUGGAACGCCGUCCGAAACUGCCAUGCUAGAGUGCAGGAGGGGAGAGCGGAAUUCUCGGUGUAGCGGUGAAAUGUGUUGAUAUCGAGAGGAACACCGGUGGCGAAGGCGGCUCUCUGGAAUGCUACUGACACUGAGGCACGAAAGAUGGGGGAGCAAACAGGAUUAGAUACCCUGGUAGUCCCAUCCCUAAACGGUGUGAACUUGGUGUGGGGAGAAUUGACCCUCCCCGUACCGGAGCUAACGCGUUAAGUUCACCGCCUGGGAAGUACGGUCGCAAGAUUAAAACUCAAAGAAAUUGACGGGGGCCCGCACAAGCGGAGGAGCAUGUGGCUCAAUUCGAUCCACGCGAAGAACCUUACCAGGGCUUGACAUGCAGGUGCAUUUUUGCCGAAAGGCAGAAAGCCUUCGAGGGUCCUGCACAGGUGCUGCAUGGCUGUCGUCAGUUCGUGCCGUGAGGUGUUGGGUUAAGUCCCGCAACGAACGCAACCCUUGUGUUUAGUUGCUAAUCCCGAUGAUAAGUCGGGAAGCACUCUAAACAGGCUGCCCGUGUAAGCGGGAGGAAGGUGGGGAUGACGUCAAGUCAGUAUGGCCUUUAUGCCCUGGGCUGCACACGUGCUACAAUGGCAGGUACAGAAAGAAGCAAUACCGCGAGGUGGAGCAAAUCUCCAAAACCUACCCCAGUUCAGAUUGAAGGCUGCAACUCGCCUUCAUGAAGUUGGAUUCGCUAGUAACGGCGCAUCAGCUACGGCGCCGUGAAUACGUUCCCGGGCCUUGUACACACCGCCCGUCACAUCAUGAAAGCCGUCUGCACCCCAAGUCGCUGUACCAACCUGCAAAGGAGGAAGGCGCCUAAGGUGUGGGUGGUGAUUGGGAUGAAGUCGUAACAAGGUA